GUGAAUCAUCGAAUCUUUGAACGCAAAUUGCACUCUCCUCGGAGAGUAUGCCUGUUUGAGGGUCAGCCUAUAAAAAAUCGACAUCGUUGCUGUUUCGCGGUGGCGUUCGUCGGAAAUCGGGUCAUCUUAAAUCUUUUGGUUUUAAGCUACUUAAAAUUUUCUUUUUGGUUCCAUGAAUGUUUCUAAGAUUUAUUUCUUUACCCGUUUAAGGUAUCGACUUUUACUUAACGUGACCAACAUU
rnacentral:misc_RNA from 1 species